AGAGUUUGAUCCUGGCACAGAACGAACGCUGGCGGCAGGCCUAACACAUGCAAGUCGAACGCUCGUAGCAAUACGAGAGUGGCAGACGGGUGCGGAACACGUGGGAACAUACCCUUUGGUUUGGAAUAACUCAGGGAAACUUGAGCUAAUACCGGAUAAGCCCGUAAGGGGAAAGAUUUAUCGCCGAAGGAUUGGCCCGCGUCCGAUUAGCUAGUUGGUGAGGUAAUGGCUCACCAAGGCGACGAUCGGUAGCUGGUCUGAGAGGAUGAUCAGCCACAUUGGGACUGAGACACGGCCCAAACUCCUACGGGAGGCAGCAGUGGGGAAUAUUGGACAAUGGGCGCAAGCCUGACCCAGCCAUGCCGCGUGAGUGAUGACGGCCCUAGGGUCGUAAAGCUCUUUCACCCACGACGAUAAUGACAGUAGUGGGAGAAGAAGCCCCGGCUAACUUCGUGCCAGCAGCCGCGGUAAUACGAAGGGGGCUAGCGUUGUUCGGAUUUACUGGGCGUAAAGCGCGCGUAGGCGGAUCUUUAAGCCAGGGGUGAAAUGCCGGAGCUCAACUUCGGAACUGCCUUUGAUACUGGAGAUCUUGAGUUCGGGAGAGGUGAGUGGAACUGCGAGUGUAGAGGUGAAAUUCGUAGAUAUUCGCAAGAACACCAGUGGCGAAGGCGGCUCACUGGCCCGAUACUGACGCUGAGGCGCGAAAGCGUGGGGAGCAAACAGGAUUAGAUACCCUGGUAGUCCACGCCGUAAACGAUGGAUGCUAGCCGUUAGGCAGCUUGCUGCUUAGUGGCGCAGCUAACGCUUUAAGCAUCCCGC
rnacentral:rRNA from 1 species